AUACGGGAGGCAGCAGUGAGGAAUAUUGGGCAAUGGCCGCAAGGCUGACCCAGCGACGCCGCGUGUGGGAGGACGCCCUUCGGGGUGUAAACCACUGUCAGGGGGGACGAACGGCGCGGCGGUGAACAGCCGUCGUGCGUGACGGUACCUCCAGAGGAAGCGCCGGCUAACUCUGUGCCAGCAGCCGCGGUAAGACAGAGGGCGCGAGCGUUGUUCGGAAUCAUUGGGCGUAAAGCGCGCGCAGGCGGGUGCGCAAGUCGGGAGUGAAAUUCCGGGGCUCAACCCCGGAGCGGCUUCCGAAACUGCGUGUCUGGGGACCGGUAGGGGCCGGUGGAAUUCCCGGUGUAGCGGUGGAAUGCGUAGAGAUCGGGAAGAACACCUGUGGCGAAGGCGGCCGGCUGGGCCGGAUCCGACGCUGAGGCGCGAAAGCGUGGGGAGCAAACAGGAUUAGAUACCCCGGUAGC
rnacentral:rRNA from 1 species